rnacentral:antisense_RNA from 1 species
ACACUCAGGCGGCUCGGUUGGAGUUGCGGGCCGGAGAGGGUUGGACUCGCAGCAAGUAAGCGCCGUGCGGACGCGAGUGCACCCUGGAGAGGACCCGAGCCCGAGAGGGGGCGCGCGGAAGGCCCGGGCCCAGGAAGUUGGGGCCCGCACUUGGCCUCGCGCUCGCUGAUCCCCGUCAAGGCCCUUGGCCGGCGCUGGCGCCCCUGGGCUGUUUUUAUUCUCUAGUCGGUGAGAUCACACCGGCCGAGAGCCUCGGGAACGUGUGCGGAGGAGGAGGGGGUGAGAAGUGGGUCCUCAGAAGUGGAGAGCUGGGGACACCAGUGACAACCUGGACAAUGGCUGGAGCCAGGGGUCUCUUGAGCCUUGUGAACCGAGUGCCCGGCAGAAAAUGAGCCUCAAGGACAUCUGUUGAGUUCUUGAAGGAAUGAAUGGAGGCGCUUUCGAAUUUAUCUUUGAAAGAAAUUUACAUAACAGGGUGUUUGUUGCUGGAUCUCCUGAUAGAGAAGGAUCGGAAAUUUGAUAAUUCCCAAUAAAUGGAAGAGAGUUUUGUUUCCAAAGCAAUGAACUCACAAAAAAGUGGGGCAAGACAGGAGUUUUCGGAGAGUUUGUGUAUUCAAAAAAAGCAAAACAACAACAAACCAAUUGGCACAUUGGGGAGCUCCGCGGCUUUUCUCUCCACCAAAAGAAUUCAGGGGCGUCUGCCCGCAGGGCCCUCGGCGGUUUUCAGGAGCUACUCCAGGCCCCUCGGCCUUUCUCUUGCUGCCUCCCGCAGCCGACUAGCCGGUGUCUAAGCCCUUUGUUUGUUUUUAACAGCAGGAAUCUCCCACCCCCACCCCUGCUUUGUUUAAAAAAAAAAAAAAAAAAGUUAUCUGCAACCCUCAAGUGGGUGGGGAGUUACAAAGCCCUGUGAGGUGUGGCGGAAUCCACAAAGUCAGCCCAGAAGCGGCAGGGGCCCUUGCCUUGCUUCAGAGAACCGCCUCCCACAAGCCAAUCCGCAGCUGCUGCUGCAGAAGUGCGCUGUGCUCCUCACCCUCCUCUCUUCCUAAAUACCCGCCUGAAAAGGAGAAUACGUGAAACCCAACUGAGUCUUGACAACCUGGCUUCCGUUCCUUGCUGGUCCUCCUGUUAACGCGCUGCCGCUGUGGUCUUAGGUUUCACUGUCCUCUUCCCGUCCGUCAAGAGAGACAAGGAUGACACAAUCCACAUUUAUUGAUUGCUUUCUUCAUUCCAGGUAGCCCGCCUGCUGCCCUUUGAUUCAAUCUUAACAGUGGUUGGUGAGGUAGAUGUUCCUCUGCCUCACGUUUACGGAGGCACAGAGAGAUUACAUUACUUACUCAGGGUUCCAAGUGGCAGAGCUGGAAUUUGAACCCAGUACUUUGUUGAAGCCUCAGUCUCCGAUCUUGACACUGCACCCAGCUGCCUGGGUCACGGAAGGCAAAGAUGACAUCAUUGAUCGAGCUCUUUGCAAAACAGUUCUCUACACGGGCACACUGUUUUAACACUGCAAGGAUUAUUUGCUCACCUGUAAAAUGGGGCUAGAGGUAGCUUCCCUCGCGAUCUCCUAGGGUGGCUGUGGGAAGCUCAUGUGAAAAGGUUUGCAUUGCUAAUGCCAUGAAAAGUGGUGGAGGGAGGUCAAAUAAGUAUAACACACAUUGACGGAGCAGCUCUAAGUUGCAGCCCUCCUAUUCAGUUCCUGAACUUCCAAAAUAAAAGACUAAGGUUUUCAAGGCGUUCACAGCCUAGAGAAGCAUCAAAGGGUGGGGAUGAGGAUGAUGUGACUGAGUGGGCAAAGAUGGGCAGGGGCCUUGCAGUCAUCAUCGUCCAGUAAAGUGUUAAUCUUAACCUGAACAAGUCCAACCAUUGAGAGGUAGCCAAAGAAAGUAAGAGGGGCUCCGGAUCCAUCAGUGACUGGCCUGGCUUCCAAUCCUGGCUCUUUCUCUUCUUCCCCUUGGACAGCGUCCGUUCUCUCCGCUGUAAGAAUGGAGCAAGCGGUUCUCACUGUGCAGAGUGUUGGAUCCAGAAAGAGCAUUGUAACUGUCCUCCUGUAGUUCAAGUCCUUUAUGUUACAGAGAGAGCAAUGUCUGCUGAAGGAGGGUGAUUUGCACUGUAGAGGAAGAGCGUCAGAGAGAUUUGAGGAUUACAUGUAGUAAGUAGAAGGACCUGACAGUUCUCUUGCAGGAUCUCCUUCCCAGCCUUCAGAAAUUGCCGGUCUGGGAGUUGGGGGCAAGGAGAAGAUCCUGGGACUCCACCAUAAUUUGCAGUCACAGAAGCCAGCAGCCUGGGGACUCCACCUUUCUCACACCUCAAGCGCCAUGGAAUCCACCGCCCCAACACCCAGCCUUCAUCUUAAUUCAGGCCCCCAUCACUGCUUGCUACCAAUUGUUACAAUAAUUUUCUAAUUGUCUCCAUUCUCUACUUGCUGCCAGAGUGAGCAUUCUAAAGCAC